rnacentral:rRNA from 1 species
GACGAACGCUGGCGGCGUGCCUAAUACAUGCAAGUCGAACGAAACUUUCUUACACCGAAUGCUUGCAUUCACCGUAAGAAGUUGAGUGGCGGACGGGUGAGUAACACGUGGGUAACCUGCCUAAAAGAGGGGGAUAACACUUGGAGACAGGUGCUAAUACCGUAUAUCUCUAAGGAUCGCGUGAUCCUUAGAUGAAAGAUGGUUCUGCUAUCGCUUUUAGAUGGACCCGCGGCGUAUUAACUAGUUGGUGGGGUAACGGCCUACCAAGGUGAUGAUACGUAGCCGAACUGAGAGGUUGAUCGGCCACAUUGGGACUGAGACACGGCCCAAACUCCUACGGGAGGCAGCAGUAGGGAAUCUUCCACAAUGGACGCAAGUCUGAUGGAGCAACGCCGCGUGAGUGAAGAAGGUCUUCGGAUCGUAAAACUCUGUUGUUAGAGAAGAACACGAGUGAGAGUAACUGUUCAUUCGAUGACGGUAUCUAACCAGCAAGUCACGGCUAACUACGUGCCAGCCGCCGCCGUAA